UUCUGCGGCAGCCAUUUUGAGCCACGUGGUUGGUGUGGAGGAGGGGAAAGGAGUUGCGUGGGGGCCUGGGGCUUUGCAGGUGGUGAUGCAGCUGUGUGCGUACAGGAGCAAGGGAAUAUACUCGUCAGAGACAGCAAGGAGUUGUUAAGUUGUGACACCUUGGGAAGCAGACAUGCAGAGCACCAAGCAGGGCCCACUCACUUCAUCGUAGCCAGUCAGCCUUGAGAUGAAGGAGGAUGGCAGCGUCAUAAUGAGAACAUUUUGUCCUUACAAAAUGAAGCCAUCAACACUGAACCUUAAAACCAAGCCAUCCAGCUCCUGCCAGCUCCUUGUGGUUGCUUGCAGCUCCACAGAGCUGCCACAUCAAGUAAUGAACCUCAAGGUGAACUGAACUGGGAUUCUACAUCACACCAGCCCACCUCUGGGAAAUGCACACCUGUCCCAGGAGUUUCAGGCGUCCUUUGUUCACCCUGCAUCACCUCGCUGAGGAAGUGAAACUACCUGCUCCUGAGAACUCUGAAGAGGAGCGGCUAACAUCAAGGCUCAGAGGAACCAGAAUCCUGGACCGCCGUCCGUACAGCCCGCUGACCUCCAUCCAGCAGGUGGAUGUGUGAAGGAAGAAGCCGUGCCGUGGAAGCACCAGAUGAGCGUGCAGGUCAUGUGUUGCCAGCUCCCAGGUGACCAUCCACAGCUCACCAGCACAAGCCGCGAGCCCUGCGGCACUGAACGUCCACUCCUCCCGGAACAGCUCUUAGAAAGCAGGAAGGAGGAGUUUGUUUCUUCUGAAAGUGUCAGCUUCAAGGGGUCUUCAACAGCCGAAGGGGAUGAAAUGCACUCUCACCUCCUGAAGGUAAUCAUAGCGAGGAGCUACAUCCAAGCACUCCGUGCAGGAGCCUUGACAGUUGGGUUCUCAGCCACCAAUGGUGUGCAACAUACUCUACCCUUGGCAGUCCUGCUGUCACUUGUGAUUUUCCAUUUCCAGACAUAAUCUUGUAUUAAGAUUGGUCUUUUGGCCUUUCAGAGGAUUGUGCUUUGUUUGAAAGCUGCAUGAAGAAACACCUGUCAAGAUAAAAUCUGCACCUUGAUAGAGACCUGGGCCAGUACAGCAGUAGUUGCUUUUCUACAUGUACCACGUACAGCAUGGCUCUUAAAUAUACGCUCAGUGGUGUUCAUACCUUGGCAGUGGUGACAUAUCAGACUGUGUUUGCAGCAGCAUUUGGAAAAGAAUCUCCGGCUCUUUGCAGUCUCCUAUGUGUAAAUGUCACUUAAUUGUCUAAGAAAAAUUUGGCUGACCUUUCAAUUACUAGUAAUAGAAUAAAGGCAGUAGAAGACUGUAUGUGACAGCAAGUGUCACUGAUACCCAGUUGUCACCUUCCUGUGCUGACCGGGAGCGCCACAGAGAAUUCACACUCCAUUCCAGGACUGCAUUUUUGGCAGAACACUGAUAAAGGAACUCAGUGGUAAAAGGACAGGAAGCAGGAAAAGAAAGGAACUGCCCCUCAUCCUUCCCCGUCCUGACUCCACGAACAAAUCCAGAAAGAGGACUUCUGAAUAUCUGCAAAAACGCCCUACAUUCUGAGAACUCUUGUGGAACUUAGGAGUCCAUCAUGCCUUCUUUCAGUAGAAAACAUUGCAUAGUUGAGCCUAUUUGCAGAUAAAGGUCCUGGUACACAGACAAAUCCUCCCAGCCAUGCAGAAAUAAUGUCGGUAUGAAAAUUACAUGCUAUGUUUGAGUUCUGGGCCAGUAUAUGUAGUUUAUACAACUGUUUACACAGCUGUUGUUAAUUGCAUUUGUGAGACUUUCGUUCAAGUAGUGCACAUCUCAUGGCUCUUCCACUGAAAUAUACAGCCGUAUAGUCACUGUUUUGUCUACCGUGUUUGGUACUGGAUAAGAAAGACACUUGAGUGGAUGUUACAGUACAGCAAUCUCAAAUCCAGUUUGUAAAUUCGCUGUUAGCAGCAGUGUUUAUAAACACUUCUCAUACUCCUCCUUCACAUUCACUCUCUUAAAACUCUGACACUGUUGAUUAUGAUCAGAAAAGUUUAACUGAUAACCUCCUAGUGCUGGUGCAUGACUCAAGAGCGUUUCUCAGCUUCCUUCUAGCAAGUUUUUCAUUUCCUUCCCAGUCACUGCUUUGACCUCCAGAGAACAGAGACCUUCCUGGCAGAGGUCACUGUUGUUGAGACCACUUCUCAUCUUGAAUAUUCUACAGAACAUGGGUUUGUGUCCUUUGUGUGGAGACUUGAAAUCUAUGUGAUACCUUCAAACCUCUUCUGACAAGUUCAAGCCCUCAUAGCCUAUUUUCAAACAUGUACUGAGAUUAAUUGGGUGAAAUUGUUAUAUCCAGAAACUUAAUCAGCCACAUCCAUCUAAAUUCAGUGAUCUGACCCCAAGAGGCAAUUAACCAUCAGAGCUAGGAUGCUACCAGCAGCUGUAGAAGAUGUUUAGUCCUUCACCCUCAGGGGAGGAGCUGAUCACAGCUUCAUUGUUAGGGCUGAUCAUAGCUGAUCAUAGGGUACACUCAGUUUAGACAUUUCUUUCUGCAUUCUUUACUCUUACAGGCAAACUUGUCAAUUAGCUUGCUCAGACAGCUGUUUCUUACAUAGUCCUGAACAAAGCAGCAAAAUAAGUGACAAAGUAUAAUCAAGUACUUCAGUAUAUCUCUUGCUCUUUCACACAUGUACGCACACAUGCAUCCCGUCACACACACACACGCUGUCUGAGCGUUCAUCUUCUGUUCCUUCCUUCUGGCUUAUCAGAUACUGAAGUAGCGAUGGUGCUUUCCAUCAUUCAUGCUGUAACUUCACUCUGUUGGUCAGCUGAAAUGCCUCACACAAAAGAAACUAUUCUCUGGGUAGAUGAAAAAUAGUCAUGCCAUGAUAAUUUCAACAAGGAAGUUUUGGUCUUUGAAUUGUUCUGAAAAAAAAGUAUAUUAAAGGGGAAACAAUAACAUCUGACUGUGACUGAGCAUUCUUAUGUACUGUGUCCUCAAUGACCUACUUGUUCAAACCAUUCAAGUUUUUAAAUUCUAAUUCUGGAUAAUGUAUUGUUUCAUAUACAGGUGUCCAUGUUUAUUCCUUUCCCUAUCUAGCCCGUUACUACUUGCAAAAAAGUAAAAGGAAGUAGAAGUUUAAUGGCCAUACAAUACCCAUAAGGCAGUUGAUUAUUUUUAUGCAGGA